rnacentral:rRNA from 1 species
UACGUAGGUGGCAAGCGUUUGUCCGGAUUUAUUGGGUUUAAAGGGUGCGUAGGCGGCCGCUUAAGUCAGUUGUAGAAAUAUCCCGGCUCAACCGGGAGGGUGCGAUUGAUACUGGGCGGCUCGGAGUAACAGCGAGGUUGGCGGAAUUGACGGUGUAGCGGUGAAUGCAUAGAUAUCGUCAAGAACACCGAUAGCGAAGGCAGCCAACUAGGGGUUAACUGACGCUGAGGCACGAAAGUGCGGGAUCGAAACAGG